UCUYGAUGGUAGUGUAUUGGACUACUUUUGCAGGUUACGUAUACGAGAAAUUAGGGUUUGACAUCGGAGAUGGGGCCUGAGAAAUGGCCACAACUUCUAAGGAAGGCAGCAGGCACGUAAAUUACCCAAUCCCGAUUCGGGGAGGUAGUAACAAGAAAUAAUAACUCGGGUAGUAUCUACUAUUACGAGAUUAAAAUGAGAACAAUUUAAAAAUCUUAUCGAGGAACAAAUAGAGGGCAAGUCUGGUGCCAGCAGCCGCGGUAAUUCCAGCUCUAUUAGUGUAUAUUAAAGUUGUUGCAGUUAAAAAGCUCGUAGUCUAUUUUCUUAUAAUUCUUUUUUGUGUGCAAACGCUAAAAAGCAAUUAUAAUCUGCUCGAGAACUUAAUUUACCUUAACUGGUCAAUUAUGCUGAUCGAGCUUUUUCCUGAGAUAAAAUUAGAGUGUUUAAAGCAGGCUAAUGCCAGAAUAUUACAGCUUGGAAUAAUAGAAAAAGACUGAAGUCUCUUUUGUUGGUUAUGAACUUUAGUAAUGAUUAACAGAAACAGGCGGGGGCAUUAUUACUUAAUUGCUAGAGGUGAAAUUCUAUGAUUUAUUAAAGAAUAACUUAAGCGAAAGCAUUUGCCAAGGAUGUUUUCAAUUGAUCAAGAACGAAAGUAUGGGGAUCAAAGACGAUCAGAUACCGUC
rnacentral:rRNA from 1 species